rnacentral:rRNA from 1 species
GACGAACGCUGGCGGCGUGCUUAAUACAUGCAAGUCAACUGAACUUAAGAUAGCAAUAUUUUAAGGGAGGUGGCGCACGGGUGAGUAACACGUAGGUAAUCUGCCUUUAGGUCUGACACAACCCCGAGAAAUCGGGGCUAAUAUCAGAUGAUGCAGCGGCUCGACAUCGAGACAGUUGUUAGACCUUCGGGGCCUAAAGAUGAGCCUGCGUCUGAUUAGGUAGUUGGCGGAGUAAAAGCCCACCAAGCCUGCGAUCAGUAGCUGGUCUGAGAGGAUGAUCAGCCACACUGGAACUGAGACACGGUCCAGACUCCUACGGGAGGCAGCAGUAAGGAAUAUUGCUCAAUGGCCGAAAGGCUGAAGCAGCAACGCCGCGUGGAGGAUGAAAUACUUUUGUAUGUAAACUCCUGUAAGAAGGGAAAAUAUUCCGAUUUAUCGGGAUUGAUUGUACCUUCAGAGUAAGCCCGGCUAACUACGUGCC